GAUGAACGCUAGCGGCAGGCCUAAUACAUGCAAGUCGGACGGGAUCGGGGAGCUUGCUCCCCGUGAGAGUGGCGCACGGGUGCGUAACACGUAUGUAACCUACCUUUAUCAGGGGGAUAGCCUCUCGAAAGAGAGAUUAACACCGCAUAACAUCACAUGAUAGCAUUAUCGAGUGAUCAAAUAUUCAUAGGAUAAAGAUGGGCAUGCGGGACAUUAGCUAGUUGGCGGGAUAACGGCCCACCAAGGCGACGAUGUCUAGGGGAUCUGAGAGGAUGAACGCCCACACGGGUACUGAGACACGGACCAGACUCCUACGGGAGGCAGCAGUAAGGAAUAUUGGUCAAUGGACGCAAGUCUGAACCAGCCAUGCCGCGUGCAGGAGGACGGCCCUACGGGUUGUAAACUGCUUUUGUACCGGAAUAAACCCUUUUACGUGUAAGAGGCUGAAUGUACGGUAAGAAUAAGGAUCGGCUAACUCCGUGCCAGCAGCCGCAGUAC
rnacentral:rRNA from 1 species